GCUGCUUUCCGAUGUAUCUUCUUUUGUUUGUUUGUUUUUUCCUCCAAGUGUGGCGCCUAGCGCCGUUUGAACAACUAUUUUUCCAUUAGAUUAUGUAAUCGUUCAACACUUAGUUAAUCAAGCUCUUUAAUUUGCUUAAUUCUUGUUCCUUGUUCCUGGGGCUGCCUCGUGGGGCGGCUCCUUUAGCCUUUGCGUGUUUUGCCUUGU
rnacentral:lncRNA from 1 species